rnacentral:rRNA from 1 species
GACAGAGGGGGCAAGCGUUGCUCGGAAUUACUGGGCGUAAAGGGCGCGUAGGCGGGAUGGCAAGUCGGUCGUGAAAUCCUUCGGCUCAACCGAAGAACGUCGAUCGAUACUGCUGUUCUUGAGGGUUGCAGAGGAGACUGGAAUUCCCGGUGUAGCGGUGAAAUGUGUAGAGAUCGGGAGGAACACCAGUGGCGAAGGCGGCUUUCUGGCCUGUUCUUGACGCUGAGGCGCGAAAGCUAGGGGAGCAAACGGG